CAGGGAUGUAAAGAAAAUGAAAACUGGAAAACUGCAAGCUUUUGAAAUGCAGGUGUGAAUAUGAAGUCUGAAGGACAGCCUGAGGCUUGGUAUCUUGAGCCCAGUUUUGAGGCUUGUUUUCCAUGGGCUCAGGAGUUAGUAAUUUAGGAGGUUCCUAUUCAGAAACUCAAACUGGGAGUGGACUGAUGAGGAGAACUGGAAAUGCUGCUCUAGGCCAGCUAAAGGAUGAAGGAUCAGAAACGUGGUGUUUUGAUGGGUUGUUCGUAAGUCCUAGAAGGAUGAACAGCAAAAGCUGGAAGAUGAUGUUGUUGUUCUUGCAAGGAGACAGCCAGCAGAACAACCAGCCUUACAGCCUGCCUUGCUGCCCUAGAAAAAUGGAGAGAAGGGACAGGGUACUCCUGCCAGCACAGCAGCUCUGCCCCAUACCCCAGCCUCUGUCUGGGAACAGCAAGUGCUUCUGGCCUUCCAGGAGCACUGCCAAGAGGGCAGCUGCAGCAGUAUUGCCCAGCGGGGCCUAGUUUGCUCUGCUGUGCCUCCAAGCAGCUAGGAAAGGCAGGGAAGCCUUCAGGUCUCCACAGAGCCCAUCUCCUGCCCUCUGUGAGCAGAGACCUUCCUGCUCAGCACCAUCACUGAGCACCGCGCUUGGAUUUCACAGAGAAUCAGAGCUGCAAGAAAAUCCUGCCAGAGGGCAGCAAAACCCUACAAUUAUUUGUUCUUGAAUCGCAGCAUGCAGUUUUGAACUGCAGUAUUAAGUCUGCCCUGUGAGUGCUGUGCCACCUCCUGCCCUUCAGCUCCCAGGAUGCAUCCCAGGUUUCAGUGAGGCCUUCCCACACAGGGCCUGUGCGCUUUGAUUUUCGCAGGCAAAGUCACAGCAAGCAGAAGAAACAUCUGCCGUGGGGGACUUUAACGGAAAGAUAUUUGUGGCUGCUGCAUUGUUAAGGAGGAAGCCAUUGCCAUUUCAUAUUCCUGUGUGAGCACAUGGUAGGCUUCUGACCCCAGACUGCUGGCAGCAUUCAGCCACCACAGACACACACACACUCCAGAAGGGGCAGGUGCUCCAGUCACUGUUUUCAGCAUGUAGGAAGGAAGCCCCAUGCCCAGGAUCUUCUCAGCAUUUCUCCCUUCAUCCAGGCUUUUCAGAUCUGCUUUUACGUGUCCAGAAUGACAUCACACACUGAAACAUUCUUCUGUAUCUAUCCUAACUGACAAAAAGCAGGAUGAGUGUACCCAAUUAUACCCCUUCUGCUGAUAUUUUCUUCUGUAAACUAUGCCAGUACAGAGGCCGCCCAUCCUGGUGUCCAGCUGUGUGCCCAGUGAGCAGCCACUCCCAGCAGAGAGCAGAAAGUGGGAGAUAUAUGUCUUUGUUGGACAGCACGCAGCUCUUGCUAGGACUAGUGAAACUGCCUUAAAAUAGAUGGUUCAGAACUGGAUGGUGUAUGAAACCUUCCUUGUUUUUUGGCUUGCUUUCUGAGGCAUUUCUUGCGAUAAGAAUCUGACUUAGAUGAGAGAUGGGUGUUGCCGUGUGGCAAUCGACAUCACUGCGUGGACAAUUUUACGUUUGAAAGCACCUUCCUCCAAAGCUGCUUGCCUCUGGAAGAGAGUGCUCAGGAGUGGUUACUGGCAGAAGAUGUGGCCUGUGACUAAAUAGCCCCAGCUUGGUAUAGGAAAACUGGGAAAUGGUACCAUCGUGCCCUGUGAAAAACAGGAUGCAGAUGGACAUCCCUGCUCCCUCUUAUCUGCUGGCAAGGCCCGGAAGAUGAUGACAAAGCAGUUUCUGUGCCAGAUCCCAGAGCCAGUAGCUGCCACUCCAAGGAGAGCUGACUCAAUCACUUCGGAUUCGAACUGUCACUCAAAAGAGAGCUGACUCGACCACUUUGGACUUACAAAUAAGUUUUUACUGCCAUUGCAAUCGUCGUCAUCGUUGUCGUCUUGUUAUUGUCAUCAUCGUCACCAUGGACACCGUUAUCAACAGAACAACAAUACCCGAAGACCCACCACUACUGAAGAUCAAUGACUGAAGUACAAACCACAUUGGACCAUGGUGGUGACUAUCUCCC
ensembl:lncRNA